UACGUAGGGGGCAAGCGUUAUCCGGAUUUACUGGGUGUAAAGGGAGCGUAGACGGCGGUGCAAGCCAGAUGUGAAAGCCCGGGGCUCAACCCCGGGACUGCAUUGGGAACUGCCCCGCUCGAGUGCCGGAGGGGCAGGCGGAAUUCCUAGUGUAGCGGUGAAAUGCGUAGAUAUUAGGAGGAACACCAGUGGCGAAGGCGGCCUGCUGGACGGUGUACUGACGCUGAGGCACGAAAGCGUGGGUAUCGAACAGG
rnacentral:rRNA from 1 species